UGUGUUGCGUUAGAGAGUGUGUAAAAGAGAGAGCGAGUUUGGAAGUGUACACUCGUACAACGAGAACGUGGCGAUUUUCUUUGCAUAACGAGAACGAAGGGAUGUUUAUUUUAUACAAUGAGAACGGGCUAGGGGAAAGAGGAAAGGAAGAAGAGAGGCGAGCGAGUAAGUUUUUAAGGAUACUGGCCUACUCUAGGCUGCCCACUACACCCGAACCUAGAACAGAAGGCGACGGUCGAACUUAGGUAGAACUCGCACUCCUACGCUGUCGCAACAGAAAGGGAUCGCGCGCUCGGCCUGCGUAUCAGCAACAAGGGUCACCUCCGUCGGGCUGUGUAGCAGCAGUAGGAGGUGUCGCCGACGAAACAAGCUGGAUGUCCAUGAAUGACCUCCACCAGCAGACUAAGGAGCUACCUCGGCUACUGUUAACUCCUCUCAGCUGUUUCCUCUAACCCCUACUGUUAGCUCCUCUCAGUUAUAUCCUCAAACACCACGAUCGUUGGCAACCUCCUUCUGCUACAACUAUCCCCCGAGAAUUCAGCUCUCCUUUCGAUUAAUUUUCUAUUUUUCUUCCAUGAGGUUCUGGGACCCCUUACACUUUUCCUUAAGCUCGUAGGUAGCCGUACAGGAAGAAAAGACCAAUAUGCCGCAUGAUGGACACAUUGAUUUAUAUUUUACAAAAACGUCAAGUUUAAACUUGAGGUUUUUGUAGAAUAUAAAUCAAUACCUCCAUCAUGUUAUCACGUGCGGCAGUACACGCAACAGCUGAGUCCAGAUACAGACGUGAUUAAUGGUAUCUGGUCAGAAGUGCCACUCGAUUAUUCGGUACUUCGGUAGAUUUAUUUCGAUUAGGUUGUUAAAUGGGGAUCGAAGGUCGACGGGUGAUUAGCUAAGAACAUGUUACAGAGACUUAAGAAUGACGGGUUACCCACUGUAAGAGAAGAUGUCACCUGUACGUCACGAUAGGUCUAGCUCGCGUUGCACACCACUUAUACACAUAUACCUCUCUUUUUUUAGUUCUGAACUUGGUGCAAGGAUCUUCCGUUCAUAACCUAGUUAGAACAUCCCAGAGUACCACGUGCACGCAUGUAACCCGUCUUUUUAAUCUUGGACUCUAUGCAUGGAUCGAGAAACAAUGACGAAUGAACAUCCGUUCAGAACCUAGCU
rnacentral:rRNA from 1 species